GGGGAAUUUUGGACAAUGGGCGCAAGCCUGAUCCAGCAAUGCCGCGUGCAGGAUGAAGGCCUUCGGGUUGUAAACUGCUUUUGUACGGAACGAAAAGCCUCUCUCUAAUACAGGGGGGUGAUGACGGUACCGUAAGAAUAAGCACCGGCUAACUACGUGCCAGCAGCCGCGGUAAUACGUAGGGUGCAAGCGUUAAUCGGAAUUACUGGGCGUAAAGCGUGCGCAGGCGGUUUUGUAAGACAGUGGUGAAAUCCCCGGGCUCAACCUGGAAACUGCAAUGGUAAUGGGAAGGUUGGGGGGGGGCAGGGGGGAAGGGAAUUCCCGGUUAAGCAGUGAAUGCGUAGAUAUGCGGAGGAACACCGAUGGCGAAGGCAAUCCCCUGGGCCUGCACUGACGCUCAUGCACGAAAGCGUGGGGAGCAAACA
rnacentral:rRNA from 1 species